AGAGUUUGAUCCUGGCUCAGGAUGAACGCUAGCUACAGGCUUAACACAUGCAAGUCGAGGGGAAACGACAUCGAAAGCUUGCUUUUGAUGGGCGUCGACCGGCGCACGGGUGAGUAACGCGUAUCCAACCUGCCCACCACUUGGGGAUAACCUUGCGAAAGUAAGACUAAUACCCAAUGAUAUCUCUAGAAGACAUCUGAAAGAGAUUAAAGAUUUAUCGGUGAUGGAUGGGGAUGCGUCUGAUUAGCUUGUUGGCGGGGUAACGGCCCACCAAGGCAACGAUCAGUAGGGGUUCUGAGAGGAAGGUCCCCCACAUUGGAGCUGAGACACGGUCUAAACUCCUACGGGAGGUCAGCA
rnacentral:rRNA from 1 species